AGGGGGGCUGAUUUUCUUCUCUUACCAUAGACCAUAAGCUGAGUUAGUAGCCUACUCUCACACUUCCUCAUCAUUCUUCAUUUCCUUUGCAAAAAGAGACAAGAAAUAAGUGAGAGAGAGAGAGAGAGAAAGAGAGAGAGAGGUCGGAUUUGAGAAGAAAAAGAAGGAGAAGAAGAAGGAGAGGAGAACGUGUAAGAACAAGGGAGAAGGAGAGAGCUUCAGCAAGGAGGGGAAAGGAAGAGCCAUUCUCUUCAAAGACCAAUCACCUUCAUCACCUUCCUUCUCAAUCACCAAACUUAAGGUAAGGGCUGGUCCUAGGAUUGGGUAGGUUGUUAGGGAAUUGUUGCCAUGAUUUGUUGUGAAAAGUUUUGUUGUUGAAGGGUUUUGCAUGAGGGUUUGGUUUGGGAUAGCUUGCUGGACUUUUAUGAUCAUGAUGCUUGGUGGAUAUUUCCAUGAGAUACUAUGUGUUAUUGUUUCACUAUUUGCUAUACUUGCCAUAGAUCUUGAAGCUAUGUGAAGAUCCCAUGCAAUACUUGCUAAGUUUGGCAUGAAAUCUAUUUGUCCAACGUGAUGAUUGAGAUGUGUUAGGUUCUGAAAUAUUUUCUUUUGGGGUGAUUCCACAUGAAUAUAUGAUGUUUUGUUGCUGGAAAAUGGUUUUGGAACCUUGCACUUGCAUUUUCGAAAUUUUAAUUUAGGGCAGAAGUGACCCUGCCAGUUUUCUGUACUGGACAGCGAACUUCGUGGCCCAAUAUCACCUAUUUCUGAUUUUCCGAUGAAAACAUGGUAAACUAUAGAGUUGUAGGUUAUUAAAUUGUCUUUCCAGGCAUAUAAAGAACAUAAUUUUUGGUUUAGUAAUGAGGUCUGGAGGUCGAUCUUAGUGACUGUUGCACCUGCUGUUUUUCCUGUACCGGACAGCAAGCUUUAUGGCCUAAUAUCACCUAAUUCUGGGUCUCAAAUGGAAAAGUGAUAAACUAGAAAGAUGUAUAGUUUCGAAUUAGCUUUCCAGUCAUGUAUCAUGUGAAAUUUUGUGGUUAAGUAUUGCGGUCUGGAGACCAGUUUUAGUACACGCUGCACCUGUUGUCCAAAAACACUAAAUUUUGUGAAAUUGUUGGAAAUGUUAGUAACAUGUGCCUAGAGACAUUUGUGAGAUUUUUAUAUGAUGAUAUCUGUAAAUUGAGCUUCUGGAAUUUGUAAAGAGUUUGUGAAUUUGUGAGGCCCUGAUUAUUUUUAUGCUAUGCAUGAAGUUUAGUCGAGACUUGUCUAGGAGGUCGCUCAUCCAACUGUAAUCCCUCCUAGUGUGAUUGUUAUUUCUCGACGUUGUAAUCUGAUACGAUAUUAACUCAUAAGACUCUAGGAUUGACAAUAGAGCCAUAAAAACCAAGAGAAUGAGACUUAAUGAGAUUUAACUCCCUUGCAAGUAAACUUAAUUUAACGGACAUAGGUCGGUGUAGACUAUGGUCCAUGAGAACGAUGGGCUUGCACGCGAGGGAGACUUGUGGAUUGACUGUGUUGGUCUCCACGUGAUAACCAUGAUUGAGUCAUGGGAUAGGGAUUGACUGUGUUGGUCUCCCUGAGAUUUGUGGAUUGACUGUGUUGGUCUCCACGUGACUUGGGUCGACUGUGUUGGUCCCCUUGUGAUUGUGCAUCUGCGGAUGUUCGAGAUUGGCCAAGGUGUUUUGUGUGAAGUGAGGAAUCCGUUAGCCUAACUGACUAACUAUUGAUGAAAUUCCAUAAGAGACAUUAAUUCUUAUAAGUGUUGAUUUUCGAUUAUUAUUUGUUUUGCUGUCGACCUGACCCUGCUUGUUUGUUAUGUGUUUAUUUGGGGGGGGGGGUAGAUGGUGAACACCAAGACAGUGGAAGCUAUCGUGAUCUGGGAGAUGGUGGUGAGUGAUCCCUAGGAUGACCGGCUCUGGUUGACCGACGCGUCUGGAGUCCGGAGAAGCUACGCCGGCGAUGCAGAGCUCGUAGGAAGGGACAUACAUGAAAGAGUCGAGUUGCCAAGGACUCGGAGGUCAUAUACAUCUCUAGUGACGACGAGGAUUAGAGUCGAGACUUUUCUAUGUUGGAGUUUUUCUAUGAGAGCUGUAUCGGAUUUUAAUUUACUUUAACUGUUGGAUUAUUAAUUACUUCUGUUUCCGAGAUCACUUAUGUACUUGGUUUUAGGCUCUGCCAUCGGAUUCGGUUUUGUACUUUUGGAUUUAU
rnacentral:lncRNA from 1 species